rnacentral:piRNA from 1 species
UCUGUCUGUGCUGAUGGAAUGGCCAGCUU